rfam:Equus caballus chromosome 20, whole genome shotgun sequence.
CCCAAGGUUCUUUUAAGAGCCAUCUACUGUUUUUUUAAAGGGCUGU